rnacentral:rRNA from 1 species
UACGGAGGGUGCGAGCGUUUGUCCGGAAUCAUUGGGCGUAAAGGGCGCGUAGGUGGCCCGGUCAGUUCGUGGUGAAAGCGCGGGGCUCAACCCUGCGUCGGCCAUGAAUACUGCCGCGGCUGGAGCACUGUAGAGGCAGGCGGAAUUCCGGGUGUAGCGGUGGAAUGCGUAGAGAUCCGGAAGAACACCGGUGGCGAAGGCGGCCUGCUGGGCAGUUGCUGACACUGAGGCGCGACAGCGUGGGGAGCAAACAGGG